rnacentral:lncRNA from 1 species
GGCCUUGACAGAUGGAGAUGUGAUAAGAGCUCUGUUGGGUGGGAGUGCGUCUUUUAAAUUUAAGGUUACAACAAACAUGAAAGUAACCCUAGCUGUAUGGAAAAAGUGUCCAAAUCAGAAGGUUUUUGUGUUCAGCCCCAUCCAUGGACUUACUAUAUUUGACAACAACUAUGCUGGUCGUCUUUCCGUAAAAUCUAACCACAGCAUUAUACUAGAUAAAUUACAAGAGAGUGACUUUGUGACUUACUGCUACGAACUCACCACUUUCCCAAAUGGGAGUCUUCAAGGACAAAAUAAGCUAGAGAAAACGACAGAAAAUGGUGACGUGCCCAUCACGAUAAUCUCAGUGGGUUGCAGCAUAGGUUUAAUAGUGUUAUGUGGAAUCAUCGCAGGAGUGGUUUGCUAUAAGAAAAGGAAGAGCAACACUGCGUUGCAUCCUGGAGGACCUCCUGGCAGUCAGCCCUCUGUGCGGCUGAAAAAUAAGAAGCGACCCAAGCGCAUACGCUCACAGAAUGAAGAAGAGGUGGAGAAUGAAGACUUCAAUUACCUGAAUAUGAAUUAACCUAACCUUGUCUAUAAUGGAUAUUACUGGAUUUACUG